UGUGGGAGCGGGCUUGCCCGCGAUGGCUGAAUGUCAGUCAGCCAAUGAUUGGCUGAACCUGCGCUAUCGCGGGCAAGCCCGCUCCCACA
rnacentral:antisense_RNA from 1 species